rnacentral:lncRNA from 15 species
AUGAUGGUCGAAUCAGAUGGUCGUGGCUACCUUUAUGGGCCGCAAUAUAGCGAAGAGCAGCUGAGCCUGAACUGGAGGCGGCUGAGGCUUCUGCAGCCGAGGCAGAGGACCUGCCUGUCGUGGACGAGGAGCCUGGACUGGCUCGAGCUGGGGCGGACUGCUGGUGCCUGUGCUCUCGCUGUGCGCCUACGGACACAUGGACGUCUGACUGUAAAACAAUAUCGCCUAACAGCCUUUCUGGAAUGGGUCCUGCAAGGCGAGAGAUUGGGUCGAGGCCAUCGUGUCGUUUUACCCGCUUAUGUGGUGCAGGCUAUCCGACAGAAAUAUCCAGCUCCAGAUGGCCAGUACUGCGGGCACCAAGAAGUUGAGGACGCUCAGGAGGAACUAUAACUGUUAUUGUUAACAUAUUUAUUUUUGUUGUUGUUGAUAUAUUUCUGUAAAUAAAUGGUUUACAUUCACGUUGUUGUAGUCCUUGAUAGUGUUAGUGGGAGCGGCUUGCGGAGCUGUGCAUUGUGGGAGUUGUUGUCUUUAAUACAAAUGCGCCCUAAAGUCACUUUCUGUCUUUUCUCGGUCAAAUAGGCACCAAAUUCAAAAUGUAUGUUACAUUUCGACUACAUAUAUAACCCACUUUCAAUAAAUAUGAAUGUUUCCACGGGUGAAAUGCUCCUUUAAGCAUCGAGUGCUAUUUAUAAAGUCCCUCCUACUGAGCUCUCGCACUGUGAAUUCACACUUAUCUCUGCACCUAAAACUAAAAUUCACAAGAGAUGUUUUUCUUUUCUCUUGUCUGUAAAAACAUUUCUAUUAGGAUUCAAAUUCAAGAUCAAUGAUUCAACAUAAUUGAAAUGUUUUUUGAUUUUCAGGUUCGUCUAAUAAGAGCUUGUAUAGUAGCUCCUAUUCUCUGAUGACAGUAAACCAAAUUGUAAACUCAAGAUGCACUAAUACAAUUCCAUGACUCAUCAGGAGUAUAAUCAGAGGGCAGAACUGUGUGUCUGCUAUCUCUCUGAGGAUCUCUUUCCCUUUCCAUCACCUUCUACAUUACACAUACACACACAUUGUGCUUACUGCCUUCAACUCCAGUGGCAGAUCAGUUAUGUAACAAGGGAGAAAUAUGAAAUUCAGAUCUUUCUCUCUCUCUCUCUCUCUCUCUCUCUCUCUCUCUUUUGCUCACACACACAAAUCAAGUGUUGUACUGUCAAAAUCGAAGGCCAGCAUGUUUGUGUGUGUUAGUUCAGCUUCCUUCAUAUCUGUUACAAAGUGAGACCCACAGACAGAUGGAGGCCAUCUGCUUACGCAUUAAGUCAAUUAAAGUAAGCAAUUCCAUCAGUGCAAUGACAGCUCUUUCAUAUUCACACUUUCCCUUCUCUAACAAACAUAUUGCCCUCACUCACUUCUAUAUUUCAGUUGCUUUUCAUGUGAAUGAUCUGCAAGAAGAAUAGAGUUUAAAGCAGUGGUUCCCAACACAUUAUUUAUAUAUUUAUAUUAAAAUAUUAAUAUACAAUUGGCCUAUAUCUCAGCCUUAUCUCACAGGGGAAGGGCACGGUGAAGACCUGAACACAAACUAAGAGAGCCAUCAGUCUCUGCACAACUAGAGCUAAUUGAACAAUGGCGUCAGGUGUCAGGUUGAAAAAAAUACAUAAAAGAGAAAAAGCAUUGUAUAAAAAGUCCCUAAAGAUAUAUGGAAAAUAGGAAAUAAUCUGCUCAAAAUUCCUCCAAAUGGCUGAUUUUACACAAACCUGCAGUUAUUGUGUUCACUAUUUGCGUUAAUUGUAUAGUUUACUACUUGUUCUGUGUUGUUACUGUUAUGUAUGGAAUAGCCAUAUGUAUUGAAUAUCCAUAUUUCCAUAAAAUAUUUCACUUAGUCAGUUUACUCAAUGAUAUAAAAUGGGUCUUUAAGGAAAAAGGUUGGGAACCACUGGUUAUAUAUUCACAGCUUUUCAGAGCCCUCGUUUUGUAUAAAAAUGUCUUCCAAAGGAAUUAUGUGGCGGUAACAGUCUCAGUUAGCCAAAAAGGGUGGAUAUAUUGAAAAUGUUUAUUCUUUAUUGUAACUCUGGAAGAUACUUAAUUGUCUAAAUCAGUCUGUUUAAACUUUGAGAAACUCUGGGUUGCAUUUUUUACACAGAUCACAGACUGUGGACAUUCACUUGCAAUAGAAGCACAUCAGAAACAGGUUUGGAAACUGAACAGAGACUGUCAGCUGACAGCUGCUGUUUGAUCAUCUUUAUAAAAUACAACAAUAAAUUAAAGCUGCAAGCAGCGUUGGGCGGGACCUCGCACUUCGCGCAACUCGGGGCGUGUUGCGGCCGCGUCACCUGCUGUCGUAACACGUGUGGACCACAACAUGAAAAUGUCACGUAAAUCAGCUCAAAAUCGCCACGCAGCGCUUACUUCCUGUUGCCAGUAGGUGGCGCUAUCACUAUAUCUGAAUAUUGUCAUGUAGACGUGUUCAGGGCGGAACUCUUAUCAGACAAGUGAAGUUUGGAGCCGAUUGGACAAUGUACACUCAAGUUAUAGCGAAUUCGUGUUUUGUGGCGGUACACCAAAAUGUCCCACAUGCCACAGACAUGCGCCCUCACCACAGUCAUCACAUAUCAUCAACAAUGUGUUUUGCAUUUUAUACGUGAAUUUCAGCUGGAUCUGAUCAUCCUGCUUGGAGUAGAACAUGAAAGUAUAAAACAUGAUACUUCCUGUUGCCAGUAGGUGGCGCUAUCACUACGUCUGAAUAUUGUCAUGUAGACAUGUUCAGGGCGGGAAUCUUAUCAAACGUGAAGUUACGUUGGGAUCAGAUAAUGUACACUGAAGUUGUGAGGAUGUGUUCAGGCUAGGACUGUUAUAUGUGAAGUUUAGUGGAGAUUGGACAUUGUACACUGAAGUUGAGUACUGUUUAUGGUGAAUGGUCGAAAUUCAACGCAACGCCAUGGGCACGCCGUUUGACGGAAUGUCGUAAGUAGCACAAUUUUUAAUCAUGAAUGUCUUUAGAUUGCGCUGAUUAAAUUUGAAGUUGAUCCAAUAAAUUCCCUAGGAGGAGUUUGUUCAUAUACAAGGUGAAAAAUCACAGAAAAUAUGCACGGAAUUCAAAAUGGCUGACUUUGAUGCCACGCCAUGGACACGCUGUUUGACGGAAUGUCGUAAAUAGCGCAACCUUUAAUCAGCACCAUUUUUUGACUGUACUGACAAAUUUUGAAGCAGAUCCGAUAAAUUCCCAAGGAGGAGUUUGUUCAAAUACAACGCCAAAAGUGAGAAUCAAAAUCAAAAUGGCCGACUUCCCAUGGGGUUGGGGUAUGGGUCCAAGAGGCUUUUUUGUACAUCUCGACACGUUACACGUGCCUACCGAGUUUCACACAAAUUGGUGAAAUGUGGCACCGGGGCUGCUUUUUUCUUAUCCUGUAGGGGGCGCUACAAACAGGACAAACACGAUUUUUGGUAUGUGAGCUUCAGGCACCAGUCUACACGUGCCCUGUGAAUUUCAUACUCGUAACUAUUACGGUCUCCGCACAGUGAUUUACCAUGCCACCAGACCGCCACCUAUUGGCGGAUUGUUGACAAAUUUUUUAGCAUGCCUCAGGGAGUCAUGGGCAAGCAUUGUACCAAUUUUCAUUUUAAUCACACGUACCGUUGCAGAGAUAUAAACUUCUUCAUUUUAAAGAGCGCCACCUAGUGGUGAUGGCCUGAAACUGUGCAAGAUGCCUAAGGAAGACAUAAGGAACUAUCGACCCAAGCUUGGUGUCAAUCGGACAUACUAAUGUGGUGAAAUGGUCCACUUCCUUUUUUUGACAAAAAAUCUACAGGAAGUGCUAAUUUUAUAAUGUGCUUAUUUUUUUAAAUAUCAAAACAAAAAUUGUGCGAAUCGGACAAAGCCUGUAGGAGGAACACAAAAAAGUAAUUUAAGGACAUUUCGCACUCUAACGAAAAAAUUUGGGGAGAUUCAGCUCUAUUCACCGAACGCGUGGAUAUAAGGUUUUUGAAUGUGCGUUAAACUAUGCAGAAGUUAUUAAGUAACCAAAAAGUCUAAAUACUUUUCUCAAUAGUAGCGCCACCUAAUGGCUGACCCGAAAGCAACGCAUAGAAUAUCAAAUUUUUCACCAGGCCUGACCACUUUGCCAAAUCAAAUUUAGUUUUUGUAUAUGUUCAGGGGGGCAAAAACGCAGUCAAAGGCGCUAAAAAUAAUAGGUAAGAAGAAACAUAGUGUUAAGCAUAUUUUGUGUGCCUGCGCGCAAAAGGAUGCUAUUGUGAGCAUGCGCAGGAUAAAACGGUCAGUGUGAGUUCUCAGACCAAAGAGACGACGGCGGGUGCUAGCUAACCACUUUGGUGACUGUGAU